UCACUUGAAAGUUCUUGCAUAUGUUAAAUAGGCAGUCUCAACAAAAUAACAUUAAAAUUAUAAUCUUUAUUUUUUUUUCAAUUUUUUACAGAUGGUUUGAUGUAUACCACUUGAAAGUGAGAGGAAGAUAUAUAAAUUUACUUGAUUGAAUGCUCUUACUCCUUAGGAUUUUAUACAAUUAAUUUCGUACUUAUUAGUGACCUCAUACUUGUUAGUGUAUUACUUUAAAAACUUUUUAUUUAUUUAUUUAUUUUAUAACCGAGGAAUCUUUCAUGGUCAAGUCCUUAGAACUCUCUAUAAAAACCUAAGUCUUGAGAUGCUGACUAACGCCUAUAACAACCAACACCAAGUAAAGCAGGGUAUCAUUAGCAGUAAGAUUCAAACCUCAGACUAUAUGUCUCUCAUUAUGACUACACCUCUCAACAUUUGUCUUGAUCAACCGGAGUAACAUGCUUGAUAGAUUAAAUUACUCCAAAAAUCAUACUGAUGUUUCAACAAAUUUAAUCCUCAACAUCCGAUAGCUUGAAGAUUCCUUUCAAGAAUGACCUUAAAGUAUUACUUAUUCUUUUUAUCACUUACAUUUUGUAUCUUAAAAUUUUAAAAAAAGAAGUGGACACUUUAUUUAUUUAUUAUUUUUAUCGUAUUUAUAACUUUAACUUUUUAUUUUUUAAAAAAAUAAAAGUUCUUGGAAAAACACUAAAAUGUGCACACAAAAAAAAAGUUGUUUCAAUAUUUAUCAAAUAUAAGCUUUAAAUAAAAAAUUAAUUUAAUAACAUAAAUUACAAUUACAACUUUCAAUAAUUUAAAUAAACUAACAAAAAAUUAUAAACUAACAAUAAAAAAUUGUCAAAUAAAUUUUUUAAAAAGACUUUUAAAAUGGACUUUCAAAUAAAAUCUUUUAUAAGUAUCAUUUACAAUUUUUGAAUGAUUUAUUUUUUUAUUCAAAAUGAAUAAAAAUGUUUCAAUAAAAUAAAUAAAUCCAUUGGUAGGUUUUAAUUUUUUUCAUAAAUAAAAAAAAAAGGAUUAAAAUGAAUUUAAGAUCAUUUUAGCAUAAAUUAGGAAAAUAUAAAUAAUUUUAAUUAACUUAAAGUUAUUAUGUUUUUUAAUAUAAAUAUUUCCGAACAAAAUUUAAGCUAUUUUGUAAAUAUAAUGUGUUUUUAAAUACUGAAAGACAAUGUGCUUUCAAAAAAUGUAUUUCAGUGAAAUAAACUUCACAUUAUUAAUCAUUAUUUGAUUUUUGAACUCAAAUUUGUGAUUAGUAUAUACCAAUGACUUUAAUUUUAUCAUAUAUAUAGAUUAUUUUUUUGAAAAGAACAAUUUCACUAACUUUUUCUAUGUUGUUUUUAACAUUUUUCACGAGUUUGAAUCGAUUUUCAUCCCACCUAUACAAGCAAGUUCAACUUAGAGUUGUCACAAGUCCAAGGAUACACUAUGCAAAAAGCAAUCAUGGCUUUUAAGGAAGGAUUCUUUGAGACGUUGAAACUACUUGAAACCCUGUCCAAAUCCUCUUCAACUACCAUCAAGGACUAAUUUUUUAAAGAACAUAAAUAUGUCAUGUUGGAAAAAGAUAUUAAUGUAAGACAAUGUUGAUGACCCGCUAUGAUCGUCUCAUCUUUAUCAAAUGGGUAGGCAUACGGAGGCAAUAGGAAGCUUACAAUAGGAAAAAGGACAAAAACAAUAAUAACAAAUAAGAAAGAAAAGAUAAGUGGUCAACUUGUAAUGAAAAUCAAGGAUAGGAAACCCGAUUAUGGCCUAGCAAAGAGGAAAGAAAAUGUGUCAUACCCAUAAUGCUAGCAUUUAUCCAUAAUUAGUUACAAAAGGGUCAUAGGAUAGAGCUCAAAGGUAUCGCCUUUGUUCAACCAUUGAGGAACCAUGGUACGUGCGGUUGCCUCGUCAAGAGUCAACUACAGUGAAGAUGUCAAAUUACAAGAUAUGGAGGAUUUUGAUAGACCUACUUUGCCUAUCAGCAUUCGAGGCUUUUGAGCAAAACAGGAUUCAAAAAGGAGAUGGUGCCACCAACUCUCUUCCCUUAGUGGAACUAGUGUUAUCCUAGUCUAUUCGGUGGAACAGAUCAUCAUUCCACAAAAUAGCAAAUUCCUAAGGCUUUAUCUGGGUAGAUUUAGCCAUACAUACGAAAAGCUUAGAUUAAAAUUUCAAUAUGAUAAUAAAUACCAUAUAAUUUUUCUUAAGUUCAAUAUUAUAUUUGGCUAAUAUUAGACAAAUAAAUGACUCUUGCUAUUUGAAUCUGAAGAACAAAAUAAUAGGUUAAUUUCAUUAAUGUGCUUAACGCUUACACUCAUCCAAUCUUCUACACAUGUGCACAUGGUACAGAAGAAAAAAAGGAAAACGAGAGCACAUAUCUCUCAAACACAUGAAAGCAAAAUACAUAAUAAACCAAGGGAAUGGACUGACCUUAUAAAAUUAACAGCAAGGCCUAGUCCACCUGAUGAACAGUCACAAGACGCACAAUAGGCAGAAUAUUCUCAAUUUUUUGUCUACAAACUGCCUUUUUUUUUUCUUUUUUACUGUCUUGUCCGAGUUUCCUCUACUGGGUGCAACCUUCAAAUCACAGUAGUGUUUUUACUUUUUAGUUAUAUAACACUCCCACUUGGAGAUUCACCGGAUGGGUGGAUGCUUCAUUUGUAUUAAGCGUAACCUGGAUUGAAAAAUAAAGCCUCCUGGUAAAUCAUAUCCUUCAUCUGUUCUUCUACCAGAGCUUGUUGCUCAAAUUCAAAGGAAAAUGGCUCUGGGCAAACUGGUUCAUCAGCUGUAUCAUGUAAUCUUGAAAGGUAAGGAUGGGCUAAUGCUUCUUCAACUGCACCCAUAGUUGGAAUUCAAUGUUAGAUACAAGAAAAUUAAAGCAGCAAUAGGAAAUCACUAACCAAAAAGGGGAAAACAGAAAUACAAUCGAUAUCUUGAUGGUAAUAUUUUCAUCGAGGCAAGUGAUCUUGUGUAUAAAUUUAACUCCAUCUGAGACAACUCUAUGAUGCCAAGGCAGUAUUGUAAUGGUAUCCAGCUCAACACUGAUCAAGGAUUCAAUUUUUGAAUAAAACAUGGACAGGAAUACAAUAAGCACGUAAUGUAGGAAAAUGUCAACUUGACCGGUCUUUCAAAAAGUUAGAAAGCCAACAUUGUCACACCAUAUUGCUAUAAAACUAACAAAGUAAACGUGGAUGCUAGAUGGGUCAAAUUUCUUUCAUAGCCAGCUUGACCCUGAUUUUGACACACUUAAAUUGAGGAUAAACUAUUUAGUAUUCAGUUGAAUAUUCUUAAAGGGAAAACAAUGCACUUCAAGAAAUAUUUUGAAAAAGAAAACUUAAGGACAAGGACUUAAAAAAAAAUUGUUCCAAUUAAAUAUAAAUAUAUGAACUGGUUUUGUAAAACAAAUUUUGAUUUUGGACAACAAACCUCACUAUGAAGUCAAAUUAUGUACUCAUGGCGCUUAGUAGUUAAUGGAGUUUAAUCACAUUGAGACCAAAGAACUAGUAGGUAAGUUAUUAUUUAAUUCUGUCUACGCGAGCAGCAAAUAGCAUCAGAUAAGGAAAUUACCAGUAAUUCUUUUAGUCGGAUCAAAUGUCAACAUUCUAUCAAUGAGAUCAAUGGCCAGUGGAUGAAUAUGUGGGAAAACGUUUACUAAUGGCUGGCGGGGAUGUUGGGGGAGUUGCAUGAUAUAUCUUCUUGCAUCAUCAUUCCGAACAAACCCAAGAUCAGACUCAGUGGGUGUGCCAAGAAGCUAAAAAGUACAAAAGCAUGUGUAAGCAUUUGUCCAGCAUAAAGCAUUAUAUAUACACUUAAAUAAAUAUGUAUAAAACCAACAAAAUUAUACAUAAUCACACAAUUCAACUUUUAAUAAUCUUUAAUAUUGUUACACAGAUUGGAAGCUGAAAUCAUAACAGGGCUACUCUGUGGCAGGGCCACUCUGUAGCAGGGCACUAUGCUAUUAUUCGAUAAAGCGUAUCCAAUUCCGCAUUUCCAACCAUGCAACCAUGAAACCAAAUUCAGAUACUUGAAAAAAUUAUCUAAUAAGUCAUAUUUCUUCUCCUAAGAUGUUUCAAAUGCAAAAUGAAAUUACAAAAAUCUUAAAAAACCAACUCUAUUCAUUUAAAUUUCUUCUUACCUCUGUCAAUAAGCGCAUUUGAUGCACAUGGUCUUUACCCGCAAAUAAAGGCCUUCUGUUCAUAAGCUCCAUAAAAAUGCAACCCACAGACCAGACAUCAAUUGCAGCAGUGUAAUCUGAAGAAUUCAGCAGUAGUUCAGGUGCCCUGUACCAUCUCGUAACAACAUAUUCCGUCAUGAACUCAUUCUCUGCAGUUGGACGAGCAAGACCAAAAUCACAAAUUUUUAGAUCACAAUUUGCAUUCAGCAAGAGGUUGCUGGGCUUCAAAUCUCUAUGAAUCACAUUUGCGGAGUGUAUAUAUUUCAGUCCACGAAGUAUCUGGUACAAGAAGUACUGCAGAAAAUUCCACUUAUAAAAUAAGUUGCAGUUCUUCCAACGGAACAAAUAAACAAGGGAAGAAGUGAAGCUCAAAUAUUAGAAUUUUGAGUUGCUCUUAAGAACAAUGCAAAGAGAAUUACUUGACAGUGCUCCUCUGAUAAACCUUGGUUGGAGCGAAUUAUUUGGUGCAGAUCAGUGUCCAUGAGUUCCGUGGCAAUGUAGACAUCAGAAAAUUCUCUCCUUAAAGGAGGAGGGACUACAUCUCUUAUACCUAUAACCUGUUUCAGGGGAAGUAUUUUUAGUGAAAAAAGAUUUAGAAACUGUCAAAGUUAACCGCUAAACUUGCAUUGACAACAAAAACUACUUCUACAAUCAUAUUUUGUUUUCCACAAAAGAAGCAGAGAGAUAACAAGAGAUGUCAUCCUUUUAAAGUUGAUCAACAUCAAUUAUUCAUAUUUGCCUUCUCAAAUUAGAAAUUUACAGCCAACUAUUACAAAAACAGGAAGAUAAUUGGAUAAUCGGUGUGCUUCGAAAUGCUAGAAUCCUUCUAAGGUCACAGCUCCUGGAGACCUUUCUUAGACACUGUUCCUCAAGCUACAAUACUCUGAUACCAUCAGGAAGUGUUUAUCCUAUCAGACCACAAUCAAUCAAAUAGAGAGAUUGAUGUCGUUUUGUAUCAAUCUAAAGUCUAAAGACAUGAUAGAUUAUUUGAAGUAUAUUCAAAUAAUUGAAUGAAAAUUCCAAAAUAAACACUCACGUUUUCGUGAUCCAAAUGUCUAAGAAGUUUAAUCUCCCGAAGCGUACGCUUCGCAUCCAUGUGAUUAUCGAAGGCGUUCGCUAUUUUCUUGAUUGCUACCAUUUCAUUCGUCUCCGAAUUCAACACCGAGCUUCAAAAUUCAAGCCGAAACAAGAAAGAAAACGAAUCCAAUAACUCAGUGAUCAUCCAAAAUAGGAAAUAAAACAAUUAUAACAUCCACCAACACGAUCGCCAAUCAGAUUCAUCAAAACUAAAACAAAAAGGGAAAUAAAUAGAUAAAUCAUAAGAUCGUAUACCAGACGAUCCCGUAUGCGCCACGACCGAUCGGCAUGAUCGGAGGCCGGUACUUCGCUGUGAUCUCAAAGAGAUUUCCGAAGAUGUUGUGUUGGAAAAACAGACCUCCAUGUGUCGGAACAGCCGGAAAAUCACUUAAUUGACCGCCGGUGGAGUUCCUCGUAUUGUCAGCCAUUUCUAUACUCACUUGUUGCAGCUCCCCUUCUCUCUCUACCUUCUCCCACUUUCUCUCUCUACUGAUGUUUGAUUACGCCACGAAGAUAUUUGUACUUAUAUAAGAAGAGGAGACGCCGCCUCUUUCGGGGAAGAUGAAAGGAAAUGGACUCGAAAACGCGCGAUGGGCCAAUAACGCGUACCACGAAGAAGAGGUCAGACGGCUGACAAUCAGCCGCCUCUGAUCGACGGUAGAGACGAGUCCAGUUUUUCAAAGGUCCCCUCUUCAGCUAAUUUGGAUUGUACACCCACCAUACUCACAAAAUAAAAUAAUUUUAUCAUAUUUAAUAAUCAUAUAAAAAAAAUCAUAAAAAAAAUCAAAUCAAAUUAAAAUUAAUUAAAAACUUAUAUUUUUAAAUUAUUUAAUUUUUAUAUUUCUUCUUUUGACAUAUUUUUCUUAAAUUUUCUGGGAUGGAUGGCUUAUUAUUUUAUUCGUUAUAAUCGUUAAUUGGUGCCACGUAAUCAAGCAUUAUGCCAAAAUUCUUAUCCCCAUCCCUUUUGUCAACUUGGUCAGAUUCACAAUUAGGUUGGGAUACUUCUGCCACCCUGGCUCUUUCGGAUAAAAUAUCUUCAUAUGUGUGUAUAUAUAUAUAUAUAUAUAUAUAUAUAUAAACUAUUGGUUCUUUGGGAUAAAGUUUUAAACUAAUGCAUGCUAAUUGGUUCUUUCACGUAACACUUUUUUUUUACCAUGAAUGGAGUUACUAAAAACUUUUAGAACAUAUGUUUUUUUUAUUCACAUUCUAGCACUGAUUGAUUCCUUAUAAAGGGCAAAGUAAAAUUAUAUAUUGAAAGAUUUUCAUAAGAAUCUUCGAAAAAACUUUGAUAUUCUAAUAGUAUUUGAUCGAUUCAGAUAAGAUAAAAAAAUUAGAUAAUAUAUUUCAUCAAAUAUAUAAUCCAACGUCUUUUUCACGGAUAAACAUAAAUAUUUUUUAGAUGUUAUAUUUGAUUAUAGGAAGGUAUUAAGGUUUUUAUUUUUAAAAAAUAUAAUAAAUAGGAUGUAAUUAAAAUUAAUUAGGAAUUUGUGUAUAUUUUUAUUAUUUAAUUAUUAUAUAAAAUAAAUUUAAAUAUAAUAAUAGUUAAUAGUUUUUUUUUUUUUCUUGCAUCCUUCUCCUCAAUUUUCGAAGCACAAACAAUUUCGAUAGGAGUUUCAGCGUUGCUUAACAAAGUCCUUAACGGUAUCGUGUGUAGGGUUCGUGAGACGGAGACCCACCAUUGGAUGCUAUUUCUUAGAGUCAACAUAAUCAUUUGACUGGAGGGAUGGUGUGGAUUGCUUUUGAGUCAGAUGCACGAGUUUGACAUUUUUUUCGUUGGAUUCUUUAUGAAAAAAGGGCAAAAUGGUAAUUCUCUGUCUGCCUAACUUCCAGGAUUAAAGCGAUGGCGUGAAGAGCGGUCAAUGGACUAGAAAAAAGAUGGGUCAAUGUUUAAGCACGCCGCGUUGCCAGGCCACUUUCGUCCCAUGGAAAUUCUCCUUUCAAAGUCAUGCCUAAGAAUUGAUCACCUUGUUAAAAAUACAGUUGUUUGAGAAACUAUGUUUUUAUUUUAUAAAAAAACCUUUUGGUAAUGUUUUUAAAAAAUAUUUUUUAUUCUAAAAAAACUUUUUUUUAAAUAUUUAAAUUUCAUUUGAUAGUGAUUCUAAAAAACACUUUUAUAUUUUUAAUAUUUAAAAUUUUUUAUCAUUCAAGUGUUAGAAAUGUUGGAAACACUUUUUAGAAUCAUUUUCAAUUACGCUUUUAAUUUUUAAAAAUUUUAAAACUUAUUUAUAAUAUUAAAAAAAUCAUUUCUCCGGUUCUUUGAAGAAAUAUUUAAAAAUAAACACUUUAAAAAAAUAUUUUCACAAAAAAUACUCUAAAACGAACUUAAAAAAUAUAUGUUUAAUAGCAUUUUUACUUAAAAUAUUUAAAAUGAAAGUGUUUUUAAAAGAAUAAUUUCUCUCAAAAUUUUAAUAAUUUUUCAAAAUUUUAAAGUAUUUUUUAAAUUUUAUCAAAUAUCUUAUGUUAAAAGUGUUUUUUAAAACACUACGACAAAGACUCACACUGCAACAAAGACUCUCAGGUCUUGUCUGGUAAUUGGUUUUUAAAAUAAUUUUUAAAAAUAGUUUUUAAAAAUAAUUUUUAAAAAUUGUUUUAUGAUAUUUUGUAAAACAAAAGUUUAUUUGGAAAUCUAAAAUAUUUUUAAAUAUAUUUUAAAAAUAAUUUUUAUGUUCACAACCUUAUUUUUAAUAAUUAUAUAUAUUUAUAUAAUUAAUUUUUAAAACAAUUCUAAAAAAAUAAGUGAAAAUAACUAAAAAAUGUUUUCUGAAAAUAUCAUAUUUUAUUUUUUCUGAUAAUAAAAAAUAAAAAAUAGUUUAUAAUUAUCAAACGGUUUUUCAAAUUUUUUAAUCUAAAAAAUAAAACAUUGUUUUUGAAAACUAUUGGUAAACCAGACCUUAACUUCUUACACUAUUAUUAUUAUUAUUAUUAUUAUGUACUGAUUUGAAGUUCAAAUUGAAUAGUGUUUGCGCAUGAAGUGUAUUAUUAUUAUAUGAAGUUGAAAAGGAGCUCACAUUUUUUGUACAAGCUAUCCUAACGGAAUUCAAGCAUGAUUUGUAUAAGUUUGACCGACCGCCCUUCAAUUUAUUUUAUCUUCCUUAGCUUCCAACAUCAAUUAUAUGAUAGAAUUUUGUACACAAAAUGUUAUGCCAAAGAAGUAUGUUUUUCUUUUUUGGGAAAGAUAGUAGAAUAUCUGCAAAGGGCAUUGAGAGAUAACUACAAUAUUCUUCCAUAUAAAUUUUAUAACAUCUUUAGAAACAUUUAAAUCUUAAGUUAUAGACUUUACAUUAUAAAUACAUUUUCUUAAUAAUAAUUUCUUAUUAUAUUAGGAGUCAACCUUUAAAUAUCUUCGUUAAUAAUCUAAUAUUAAAAAAAAAUUAGGUUAUAUCAGGUUGUGAAAAAUGUUCAUAAAGAAAAAAAAAUUUCAAAUUUUGAUUGUUUUCAUAUAAAAAAUUAAUUAACUUUAAAUAUAUAUAUAUUUUUUUAAAAAUUCUUCUUUCUUUUGAAUUUUCAGCAUUUUCCCCCAUAAAUAAAAAAGAGGAAGGAAAGAGGAUAUAUGACUUAUAAAUAAUGUUAAGUAAUCGGAAGCAUGAACACGAUUUUUUCUCUAAGGUUGUGUUUGGUUUCCGAAAAAUACCAAAAAAAGAAAAAAAUACAAAAAAAAAGAGUUUUUCAUGUUUGAUUGUUCUAUAAAAAAUUAAAAAUAUAUAUAUAUAUAUAUAUAAUUAAAAUUAAUUAAAAUGUCAUAUAUAUUUAAAUUAUUUAAUCUUUAUAUCGAUGUAUUAAAAUAAAUAAAAUAAAUUUGAAAUAAUAAAUAUAAAUAAUUUAUUAAUUUUUAAUCUAUUUUUUAUUUUUUCUUUGCUUAUACUUUUUAUUUAUAUUUUCUUUUCCUUCUAUUUUCUUUCAAAAUUUUCGCCUAAAUAAAAUAUUGUUUUCCAUGGUUUUAGUUUGUUUCCGGUUUCUCACGCAAACAAAUGUUAGGCCAAUCGAGGGUCUAAAAGUUUCCUCCGCCGAGUGCCGAUUACGUUGCAGUUGGCAAAUUGAACAAGAGGGUCGCCUUGGGAAAAAGAGAGCUACAUUUUUAUUUCAUUCGUAAGCACGAUAUAUGCUUAUUACUUUUGGAUGAUUUGACGGGAUUUUUGACUGGGGAAGAUGGAGUCGGUCAACAAGAGCAUAAUGAGUUGAAAAAUAAUUUUUUGAAUGGUCUUGGUCCUUGGAAGAACUUCAAGUCUUCAACCAAAACUAGUCACGUGCGAGGUGCUCCAAUCAACUACAGAAAAAUGAGAAAAGUUUAAAACCCAUUUCAUACUUCUUUUGAGAAUUGAUUUUAAACAUUUUUAGAAUAUAUUUUAAUUAUUAUCAAAUUUUCGACCAGGAUUCUUAAAGUUGUUUCUUUGGGCGGGACAGGAAAUUUUAAUGUUUGGUUGUCGAUGAAUUCACAAGCUUUGCUUGUACCGCCUUCUCUUCUUUGAGUACAGGAAAUUACGUGGAAUGGAGAAAAAGGGCUAAUGCUGUAAUUAAUCCCUAAUUCAUUGAAGAAAAUUUCUGAAGACAAGUAGGAGGCAUUAGGGAACAAAUAGACAGAGGCCUGCAAAUCUUUUGGCCAUAUGUUAACGUUGUUCUCCCAUUCAGACCAUUGCAGAUGGCAAACUGCAAAUAUCUAUGAGUGCAAUUUGGGUGGAUUAAUCCUAUCUAAUAGGAGUCUAAUCCAAAUUUUGGAUAAGCUUAGAUAAUCAUUUUCAAAGCUUCAAGAUUUUUCUGCCCAAACCAGAUUUGGAUUGGAUGUAAUUUUGGAUAAGUUUAGGUAAUCAUUUUCGAAGCUCAAAGAUUUUUUUUGUCCAAAACCAAUUUGGAUCGGGUGUAGCUAAAAUUUAUACUACCAAGCCAAAUCCUAAGAAUUUUUAUAAUACUUAUAAUUUAUAUUAUCUUAUAUAAUAAUAUUUAUUUGGUAAUUAUAAUUAUUUGAUUUAUUUUUAAAAAGCAUGUUUAAAUAGAUUAUGAGUCAUAUAUGAAUUUAAUCCAACCAACAUCAAAUGCACACACGAGACCCAUUCUUCAUGAGUCACAACUUUGGCCUUCACAGUCCAUGGCAUAAUGGAUGGUUGUUUGAAAGAGCAGUCGGUCAGGUCUUGUAUUUGGUAAAAUCAAAUGGAAUGGAAGAAGGGAAAAAAUUGCGGUAUGAAAUCAUUGUAUUCAGGCAAUGAUUCAUCAAAGGGCCAACCCAAAACAAUCAAUUAAAUUUAAAUCUGGAAAUAACGGGUGAACCCUAUGAGUCACCAGAUUCAGAAGCAAAUCAGGGAAUUCCAGACGCAUGCCUCUCUGAUACUACCACUUCCUAUAACCAUUCCAAAUGAAGGCCACGGUUCCAUGGCGUAGUGAUUAACUUCAGAAUCUUUUAUGAUUUGCCAGGAGGGCCCCUCCUCCUUGAUCUAGACUAGGAAACGUAAACAUUCAGCGUGGGACAAGGAAUCCCAACCACAAAUUCAACCUUUUUCAUAAUUCAAAACCAGAGGGGUAAAAAUGGAAGUGUGGCAAAACACAAUAGAGGGCGCAUUCAGUAAACAAUUUCUUUAUUAUAGUAGGAGGAUGAACAUUGCACUAAUAACCAAGCAAUCAUGCUGAUAUUUCAAUUUACCAUGUCCAACAAAAUUAAGCAAAAAUCACUCCAACUUCUUCAUCAUGAAACUGCCCAGACCACAUAAGUGCUUCCAGAAUCUAAAAACAUAACGGUAAAUCAGCAAAUGAAACUUGCCAGCUCCACCACCUUGUGUCCAAUUUUCUUUUAGGCAUCAGCAAAUCUGCAAGUGAUGAAAAUAGGAAAGAAACUUAGUCCUCUGGUCCGGUUACAUAACAAUAACAAUGUUCUGGGGAAAACUCCAUGAUAUGGCAAAUAUAGAACUUAGAUAGGAAAUGUUACCCCAGCUCAGAGAGCUUCAAAUGGGCUUCUUUGUAAUCCUCAAAGAAGGCAUCUUCAUCCUGAAAAGAUAUCAUAGCCACAACUUAAGUUUUUUCCAAAUCAUCAAAAUCCAGCUAAAUUCUUAUAUUGUUGGGAACUUGAAAUGAAGAUAAGCAGAGCAAUUACUGACAGCGGCAUAUUUCUCAACAAGAGGACGGAAGGCUGGGUCUGAGAGAAGAGCUUUAUCACUUGGCAGCUGUAGAAGACCUUCCUUUUCUCCGCUAAGGAGUUCCCUGUUGACAAGUCAAAUAAUAACAAAAUAAGCAAACAUUCUUAAGAUGCAUAGAAGAGUCUUAUAACCAGGCAAAAGCUAGAACUAUUAAAGAAUGUAUAGGGAGAAGAACACAAAACUCACUUGAAGUAGCUGUUAUCAAAGAUCAGAGGGUUGGAGGUCCAGGGUCCUUCAAAUCCAGAGCGCUCCUUGUGGCACCUUCCCUGCAAACAUAAAACCAACCAGCAUCUUUCAAUUUCAGAUCACAAUUAUGGUAAGAUGUUAAAACUGACUGAAUACAAUUCUUGCCAGCACUCAUUAAGUGUGAAUAACUGUAAAACUGAACACAGACCAGGGUGUGGGCCCCAGAGAGAGCUACGAUGUCCUUGUCGCUGAGACCCAUUUGAGUAACAAACACCUGUCUCAAGUGAUCGCAUCCUGCACAUCAGUUGAUUCACCCACAUAAACUUCUUAACUCAAUACAUCUUCUCCCAGUAAGUUUUGAUUUUUUUCUUUUCAACAUACAACAUGAUGCAAAUAAGGUUUUAAACAUACUAACCUUUGGUGGCAUCUGGCAGACGACCCUCAGGUGGUGGCUCCGGCUUGUCCUGAGAUAAGAGGAGGACCAUUGUCAGCAUAAAAUAACAAGAUAAAUACAUUAUGAUAAAUGAAGAGAAUACAAAAUUGUAACAUCUAUCAAGAAUCAGAAUAUAAAUAGAGAAUAGAUGUAGGACAAUAUUUUAACUAAACUUGGAGGUCCACCAUCAUGUAGAUCUGUUCUAAUCUGCCACAAAGGAAUAGUGGCAUCAUGAGAAGAAAAGGAUAAAAUUGAAAAAAACAAGCAAAUCAUGUAUACCGUUUAAACAAAGAAAAGAAAAGGCCCCAGAAGAAAAAGGGGAAAAGACACAUGAUUUUUUUUUCUCCAAUGGCACUUUUACAAUGAACCAAACAAAAUCAGUAAAAAAAGAACAGAAAAUUUUUAGGGAAAAAUUUUAUACAAAUAAAUAAAAAUGGACACUGGCUUUGGAACACAUUUUAAACUCCUUUUGAUCAAUUGCUGUGGUUUUUGCCAUUCUCCAUGCAAAAACCCCAAUCCACUAGAAUAGAAAUAUAAUUACAUUCGUUUCAUUUUUUUUUUUUUGUCAGACAAAUGCUGUCUGAAAACGACUUUAGAAGUACUGUUCUUUUUUGUAGAGAAAUUAAUUAAGAUUUUUCCCCUUUCAAAGGACAAUGACUUUACAUAAAGCAGAAAAGGAAAUACCCAAAUACCCAAAAUCUUGAUAAUUUGGCAUCAAAAACCACAUUUCCCCCAUAAAAGGAAAGACAGACCAAUAAAACAAAAUAAAGACAUGUCAGAUACAUGCAUUGAAGUUUACAUGGCAUCUACACCUCUUAAAGUAAUAGAUCAAACAAAACAUGCUUAUAGAAACAUUGUGAUUCGGGCCACAGUCCCAAAACUGAGUGAAUAGGCCAUGCUGUAUUUAAAAAUAUAGGUUCUACCAAGUAUUCAGACCAAUCCAUUGGUUAUCUGCCAGAGGCAUAUGGACAAAUUAGUGCAUCAUAUAAGCUUUAAAGCAGGCGAAGUUAGAAUCCAGACAAAUUAGACAACCAUAUUGCAAGCUCUAGGUUACCAAGCUUUAAUAUCAACUAAUAAGUUUGCAAUGUAGCAUUAAGAAACAAUGCAAACACCGCUACCACCAAAGCAUUAUGUGGUGACUAUGAUAUCUGCUCCACAUCAAAUUUUCACUACAACCUAUUAAAAUACAUGAACCUAGUAAGCAAAAGGUAGGAUGCCCAGCUCCAACCCACCAAAUUUCAGUUUUUGAUUCAACCCAUACAAAACUUAUCUAGAUCAAAACAAUCACAAAAUUGAACUGUUAUACAGAACUACUUCCUUGUCCUAAUUUUAAAUAUGGAAUAUAACAGAGAUAGUCUGGUAAGGAAAACAUAAAUAAAAAGGAGGACAAGACAAUCCUAAGCAACAUAUUACAGCAACAGAUCAACUAAAUAGUUAGAACUUAAAAGUUUUUUCUUUAAAAAGAAUAUGCAAUUUUAACUGAAAUGAAAGAAUGGUGAUAAUUCACCUACCUCUCUCCCUGGGUGGAAAGGAAUUUCAGGCCCUCCAGUGACCUCAACAGCAACAACUCCAGCCAACUAAGUAACAUAGAAAAUGAAAAAGAAAAGUCAAUGUCUGAAAGCAUAAAAGAAAAAUUAUUGAAUAGAGUGGGAUAGGUGUGAUAAUGGCCCAAAAGGGAUAGCAAUUUUGAUAAUUCUGGUUAAGGACAAGACAAAGGGGGGAAAAUUUCCACAAAGGCCAUUUAGCAAAAUAAUAAACCAAAAUUUCAUAACUAUCCUUUAGUUAAAGUGGACAAAAUUUCAUAAAUCAAAAUAAUAAACCAAAACAAUUCUAAAAAAAUAUUUUCAAAACAACAUCUAAUAUGUUUUCUAAAACAUUUCCAUUUCUACUUUUAUCUAAAUUUAUAAAUAAAUAAAAAAGUUUCCCUAAUAAUGCAAUAAGAAUGAUUAUUUUUCAUAAUUUUUCUCUAAUUUCAAAUUUAUAAAUCAUGCUUUUUUAUUAUUAAGAUUGUGAAGAAAAAAUGUCUAAUUUUUUAUUUGGGUUGUUUAAAAGAAUUAGAAACACUAAUUCAUCAUUUUUUGUUUUUUACAAUUGAAUAAUUUUAAAAAAUUAUAUAAUGUUCAUAAUUUUUAGUUUUUUUCGUUUGCAUUGCAUGUUUAUCUUCUUUUUUUUUUUCUUUCAUAGCAUACAAUGAUGGAUGUUAAUACAUUGUAAUUUUAUAUUGGAUGUCGAUGAGGUAUAACUCCAAUACUAUUAUUUCUAUUAUAAAAAUAUAUUAUAAUUACAAUAUAAAUAUACUAAAAUUAUAAUACAUUACAACAAAACCUAAUUUAGAAAAUUUUAAACUUUUAUGUUCGCUAACAUAUUUAUAUUAUGAACCAUCUUUUAAAUCAAAUAAAGUAUUAAUUUGAAUUCAUGAAGCAUUUUUUUAAUUAUAAAAAUAAUUAAACAAUUUCAAUGCAUAAAAGUAAUGAUGUCAAUAGGGUAUAAAAAGGUAUUUCUAAAAUUAUUAAUUUUGUCAUAAAAAAAAAGGUGGGACAUAAAUUCAUUACACUUACAUUACAAAUGCACUACUAUAUUACAAUACAUUACAAUACAACCUAAUUAUUAAAAUCUUUAAUUUUUUUCACGUGCCAUACCAUUAGCCGAAUAUUUGUGUGUUAUAUUGAAUUGAGAUGCUCAUGAAAAAUAAAGCACACAUAAAAAUUAACUGUUUAUUCAAUUAGGGCAACAAAGCUUUUACGUAGCUAUAAGCAAUUGCUAAAGUUUGUUGUUACAUGCAUAAAGUAGCAUAUUAACCCUUGGGAUUGGUUUUUAUUUAAUAAAAAUCUCAAUUCUUUUUUUAAAUGAGAAAAGUAUAUUUCAAAUAAUCUAAUUUCUAAUAAUGAAAUUAAAAAAAUUAUAUAAAUUUGUAUUAGUUAUCCUUUGACUUUCCUAUUCUUUUCAACCCACAUAAGCUUAAGCAUGGUGAAUUGUAGGGUAAAGUUUAACUCUAAGGAAGAAAGGAGUAAUGGGAAAAAAAUUGACAAAAGGUAAAGUUAAUGUCUCAGAAGUUAGUUCCUCGAGGGAAUUUGAUAAAUAAGUGGCUGCCAUUAUCCCAUCUGACCGACCUAUUUGGUUGAAUCCUAAACAUUAAUAUGCAAAACAAAUUCUCACGUCCACUGACGUUUGAAGUGAACAAGCAAACCAAGAGGCCAUCAGAUUUACAGCAGCUUUUAAGAGCCAAGCAAAAAAUUAGCGUCCGUUUACAAAUAUAUCCAUAUAUAUAUAUAUUUUCUCUUUCAUUUUCCUAAACGUGUUUCUUGCAAACGAAAAGGAUCAAAACGAAAAUUAACAAAGGGAAAAGAGGAAGCUAGGAAAAAAAUUGCAAGUAUUUAUAAUACCUGAUAGAAGUCAGCGUACGAAAUGAUAGGGAAUUGUUCCUUGAUAGGUUCCAAGAGCCUAACGGCUAUAUCAAGACCGUUGUUGGCUCCGUGAGCUAGCUCUUCUGGCUUCUUCAUCGUUCCGAAAGGACCUCCGGUUCUCGUCUUCACAUCGAAGGUACCGGCAGAGUGCCAUCUGAAACCACAUGAUUACACGGUCAACAUCCUGGUAAAAUAAAUAGAUAAACGAACAAAUAACUGGGAAAAACAACUAUUGAGAUCUUAGAGAGAAAGGACGUACGCGAUUCGGAGCAUAAUCGGAGCACAGUUCUUCUCAGCGAUGAGGCCUCUGAGCUUCUUCUUGGCUUUUUCUACAGCCUUUUUGUAUUCCUCGCUCACAGUAGGAUAGCUCUUCCCCAUGGCUAUGA
rnacentral:lncRNA from 1 species